AAUAACGAGCAGCACGUCCGUUAUCCUGCGACGUCCUGAACUUGACGAGACUUUCCCUUACUUCAUUUACAACACACAAGGUAAAUCUCUCCCUUGAACCAUUAAAAGCCUCAUUAGUUAACCCCUUGAAAGAAUGGGUGUAACUUGUGGCAUCAGCGGUGGUUCUGAAAGUGUGUAAGAAAGUCAAAGAGAGUCUGGGACCACUCGGACGCCGGUGUAAUGUCCUGAUGUCUCCUCGCGGCGGCCCUAGCAGGUGAGCGAAAGAAAGUAUAUAUACACAUGCGUCUACCUCUUGUCCCCCACCACACCUGUCCACCUUGCCACCCUGACACCACCUCGCUAACGCCGCUGCCCUGAACGCCCUCCAACCUGCCCACCCCUGCUACUGGUUGACUCACACGGUAGCAGCACUCUACCAUGCGGCACCUCGCCCUGCUCAGCUUCUUGGGCGUGUGUGUGGCCCUCGCCCAGGCCAUGCCCGUGGCCAUACAGGCAGAAAUAGCCGGGGCGGACCGAGAUGGACGCUUCAUCAUAUACAUCCUGCCGGAGACGCUGGCGGGGUUUCCGGAGCAUAAAAAAGAGCUGUACAUAAAGGGAUCCAAGAUUGGGAUGACGGGAGAGAAGAAGGGAACAGCAGGUAAAGGGGAGGGGGCAGCAGCAGGUGUAGGGGAGGGAGGAGGGGCGGGAGAAGCAGCAGCAGCAGAAGAAACAAAUGUCGCUGAAGGUGAUGAACAGACUACCUGCUACUGGCCUUUCUGCAUCACCAACAUAUCAAACUAAGGCACGGGGCGUCAAGGUGUUCUAGUCAGUGUUAUUGUUACCUUUGCUGUUAUCAUUAUUGUUACUCUUGCUACCCUUACUUUUGUUACUGCUUGCUAUCUCCACUUUUUGAUUUUCUUGCAGUCAUUACCAUCGUUACCCUUUCUGUCAUCAUUUUUGUUUCCCUUUCAUUAUUUUUGUUACCCUUGCUACUUUUGUUACCGUGUCAUUGUUACUGUUACUUUUGUUCUCAUUGUUUUUGUUAUCCUUAGUGUCGCUGUCAUAGUUACCCCUGCAGUCAUUACCUUUCUAUUAUUUAUCUACUAUUACCAUUAUUACUGUUCCUAUUAUCACUGAUUUUUAAGUUGUUUUUUUUUUACAUCAAAGAAAACGGCUCAAAAAAAAAAAAAAAAAAAGAA